rnacentral:tRNA from 1 species
GCCCUCGUGGCGAAACUGGUAGACGCGCAUGGUUUAGGACCAUGUCCCGCAAGGGGUAGGGGUUCAAAUCCUCUCGAGGGCA